CCUCUAGCAGCACCGCACAGUCAAGAGUCACAAGGUCGGGGUUGUAAUAUUUAUAACAGUAGGUAGAACAGGAUUGGUCAAUAACAAGGGGAAGUCUUCCUUGAUGGUGAGCAGGAGUAGAACCAUCCUCUUGGUACUGGAACCAGGAAAUGACGAGGAGCCGCUCCCAGUCUAGCCCCUCCUUCCACCGCUGCUGGGAGAAUCUUCAUAUCAUGACAGUGCGAUUUUGUGUUUUGAGAAAAAGUAUUGAGUCUUCAGUGAGCAUGAGCAGUCAGAAUUCUUUCUAAGGCGUAUGUCAUAGUUUUCUUAUAAGCACAGUGCAUUCAUGUGUGUGAUGUUGAUUAAAGCUGAGGAGUUAUGGUUUAAUAUGAAAAGUUAGGUAUGAGAACAAGUUAAAGUAAAGUUUAUUGUAUGCACAGAUUUACAGUUCCCACAACAGACAGCGGCUCUUAUCAAGACAUGUGUGAGACUGACCAGUGAUGAGACACACACACAUUCUAACAACUUCAAGAUUAACACCAAGCAGCAAAGGUUACUAAAAGUCACUAUGUGGUGUGCCCUCCCCCCCCUUAGUUUGUUUAGAGUUCAAUUCUAUUGCAGAGACACACAGACACAAUUUAAAAUCCCAACAAAGCGGAGCAGGAGGAACGUGAGCAGAAGAUGGAGGCUCAGGUCACUGAGCCUGGAGACCUUCAUCCCUCUGGUGUUUCUAUCUGCUCAUCACUUCACAUGUGAACCUUUAGUUCUGUGUGAAGGUUGUGACGUCCAGUCUGCUCCACAGGAAGUGACGCUGUCUGCUCUCCUCUCUUUCAGAUAAUCACACUCUACUGAUUGGUGUAGGUGUUGCUGUUGGCUUUGCUGUUGGUGGGAUUGUUGUCGGUCUUGUUGUUUACUUUGCUCUAACAAAUAGAACACACUCAGCAGUUAGAACUAAUCCAGGGUAAAGUUCCCAAAGCGAAUGAAAAGCUUCAGAGUGACGACCACACAACAAUGUUUAUUUAAAGAUAAUGAUGUCAUCAUGACGUCACUUCCACCACAUGACGACACAUGAUUGGUUCUUGUAAAUAAGCUGACUUUUUAAUAUAUGUAUAAAAGCUUCAGGUCGUAUCUAUCGUCCAAUAGGAAGCAGAGACUGUUGAAUGAUGCAUGAAGUCAUUUUCUGACAUUUUCUUCAGAAAGUGAAAUGAAACUGUGACAUCACAUCCUGGACACGUAUUUUGAAGGAGACCCAGGAUGUUCCUCUGUUUCAUGAUCUCUCUGCUUGUGGUUCUUCUCUCAGCUGAACUUUGACUCAAUCACACGUCACUGAUCUCAGACCUGCUGCUCUGCUCUCAAUCAAUGUGAAUGUUCUGCAGCUAAAGUGAAAAUGUGAUGAGUCAGUGUUUAUUGGUGAAGGUGCUGAGUCGGGUCCAGUUCCAGUCUCAGCUGCUUCCUGUUGUCACUGUGAUGUUUGACCCGUCGCUGUCUGACACUGACUUUGUCUUCAUGUUGUUUCCUGAUGAUUCUGAGGAUUUCAGGCUGCUUCAUUAUUUCUGUUCAACACUUUGAAUAAAACGUGACAAACAUCAAA